AUUGAACGCUGGCGGCAGGCUUAACACAUGCAAGUCGAGCGGAGAUGAGGUGCUUGCACCUUAUCUUAGCGGCGGACGGGUGAGUAAUGCUUAGGAAUCUGCCUAUUAGUGGGGGACAACAUUCCGAAAGGAAUGCUAAUACCGCAUAUGUCCUACGGGAGAAAGCAGGGGAUCUUCGGACCUUGCGCUAAUAGAUGAGCCUAAGUCGGAUUAGCUAGUUGGUGGGGUAAAGGCCUACCAAGGCGACGAUCUGUAGCGGGUCUGAGAGGAUGAUCCGCCACACUGGGACUGAGACACGGCCCAGACUCCUACGGGAGGCAGCAGUGGGGAAUAUUGGACAAUGGGGGAAACCCUGAUCCGGCCAUGCCGCGUGUGUGAAGAAGGCCUUAUGGUUGUAAAGCACUUUAAGCGAGGAGGAGGCUACUGAGACUAAUACUCUUGGAUAGUGGACGUUACUCGCAGAAUAAGCACCGGCUAACUCUGUGCCAGCCGCCGCAGUAAUAC
rnacentral:rRNA from 1 species